CCUGUGUGUAAGCUAACUGUGCAGGAAGAGUAGUUCAUCAACUGGAGGCACACACAGUGUAUGGAUCUGUGCAAAUUUGCUUAAGAAGAAGAAAAUAAGGAAGAUCCAGAGCUGACUGACCCAUGUGGACUUACGGAUGAUGAACUCAAGGCCAAACUGCUCAAAUAUUUAGUCGAAGCUAGACCCAUUGUAGCCACCACCAGGUCUAUCUAUGAGAGGAAGCUAAAAGGCUACUAGAACCUACCCAGCCCAGACAGAAUGGUGGCACAGGAUAUGCAAACCAGUACUAUGACAGUGAAGAAGAGGAGGAAGAGUGGGGUUCAGAACAAGGAAGACCAGAGCAGUGGAGGAAUAUCAGCAUGCUAAUGAUCAGGUGAGUGAGUUCAUACUAGGAUCUUAUUUUGAGACUUUGACCAAUGAAUAGUGAAUUUCUUAUGCAGCUAUGUCAUUCUCCUCAAGUAAGGAAAAAUGUUGCCUGCAGUGCCACCUUGUGACAGUAGAUAGGUAUUUCUGUGCCUGAGUUCUAACUGUUGGGUCUCAAUGUCAAAAGAAGUUGUUACAUUUUAGGAUUGGUUCUCAGCUCAGUUAUUUCUUUCUUUUAGCAGAUGGUAUGGCACUCUCAGGAAUAAUAAAAACAUCAGUGUUUUAUGCCAUCGUCGAGAAUGGUAAAUCUGACAACCACCAGUACACUUACUUAUGAAUUAUUCAUAAUUUAAAAUGGGUGAUCAUUUCUGGAGUGUGAUGCUUUUGUGUAAUGGGAUAAUAAUGAUGCUACCCUGGCAGCGGGUCUGGAGAGCUCCAGGCCACUAUGAAUUAAAUCCCAAGAGGAAUGCAGGGAAUCAUGGGAAUGUGGCUGAGUCUUCCAACAGCAGAGGGGAAGUACCGGGGGCAGUUGCCCCCAUCGCCUGUUACUCCUGGGUACAGAGCUGGACUGAGCAGAACAUCCUCUCUGCUAGGACAUACCACAGGAUCAGUGGUAACCCUUCUAGAAAAACUCACUCAUUAACUCUUCAAUGGGAAUGGGAUCUCUGCUCUUCUACUUGCAUUUUUUUCAUCUCACACUCUAAAGCUGGUGCAUAUUUUGGGUUUUAAGGGACAACUUAAGGGAUCAAGGAAGCUGUUGGAGCAUAUUUUUGGAUAACCUGUUAUCGGCUGUGGCUCUGAACAACCGUCUUACUUUAAACCCAUGCAGAUGCAGCCUCUGUCUGUAUCUCUGGGAGGUGGUGGUGAGGAUUCCUCCAAUUCCCCUUCUCAGAGCUUCAGCAUUACUGAGAUGGUAGAGGAGGGAAGUUUGUUUUUAUCAGGUUUUUGUUAUCUAAUCUUGACGAUCACAUCAACAGCCUAAAUAUCUAAUCCCCACUAAAGUUUUGACUAAUGAGUGAUAUGCUGUAUUAACGUUUUCCUCUGGAACCACAGAUUGAGAGUCAAAGCCCUCUCUCCAGUAGUAGAACACAGAAGCACAAUAGGAGUAAAAUUCUGGUUUCUUGGCCAAGGCCCCACCAGUUCAUACACUAGAGCUACAGUAGCAGACUGGCGGCUCCUGGCAGAGCUACACUGUAUACUUUAUUAUCCUGUUAAUGGUUUUACCAUCACUGAGCAGGUCACAGAUGUCCUGAUGGAGAUGUUCCCAGAGACAGAACCUACACGCACUGGCAUUGCGUAAAUCCAGUUUCCCAUAAAACAACACUACACAUACAGAAGACUAACAAUUAGGGAAGAGUCACCAUUUAUAAGUGCCACCCGUUGGAGAACUAUCAAGGGUGCAGCGAGGCGACCAGUCCAGUUUAAAUUCCCAGAUCUCCCUGCCAGUCUCAUGACCCUACAGAGACAGGCAUUGGAGAGCCGCCUGGUGCCUCUGUUGGUCUAGAUCCUGGUCUUCCUCAUCUUGACUUGCCUCUUCUACCUCAUCUACGCUGCCAUGGAAUACAGCUUGGACCAACCCUCUGUGGCCUUGCUGGACAACCUCAGUAUGGGGACGGAGACUCCAGCCUGACCCCUAGGACUCAUCUGUACACCCUCUCUAGGGAGUAGUAACUCCCCUGCUCUAGCUAUGUGUCCUGAUUCUCCACCCUUCUCUUAAAGGGAGAAAUAUUUUCUUGCAUGGAUUUAAUAAUGGAUAAAACUUAAUCCGGCCAAUGCUUAUACCAAUCCUAAACUUUCAAAUCCGUGAUGAGAAGUAGUGCACCCUUCAGGAAAGAUAUGGACAUUCGGGAUACUCCACAAAUUGUUUUAGUUGUUGUGAGGCUAUUAAUUUGGUUACCGUAAUUCACCUUUACUCUCUGGAUUAAGUCACUCUUAACCAAGCAAGAUAGCCAUUAUAAUACUGUUUUUUUUGGAAAAUGUUCAGGUGAAACUACUGUUCAAAUAUAUACUGUGAUGGUGGAAGUGCAGAAAAUAAAAUGUGAUUUAGCCUAAUUUAGAGAAAUAAUAACAGUUUGAGAUUUGUGUAACUUAAUGGAAGAUGUUUCUGUAUUUAAUUACAAGUAUGUAUCAAUUAAAAAUGUAUGGAGUUACAGCUACAA